rnacentral:rRNA from 1 species
GAUGAACGCUGGCGGCGUGCCUAAUACAUGCAAGUCGAGCGAACGGACGAGAAGCUUGCUUCUCUGAUGUUAGCAGCGGACGGGUGAGUAACACGUGGAUAACCUACCUAUAAGACUGGGAUAACUUCGGGAAACCGGAGCUAAUACCGGAUAAUAUUUUGAACCGCAUGGUUCAAAAGUGAAAGACGGUCUUGCUGUCACUUAUAGAUGGAUCCGCGCUGCAUUAGCUAGUUGGUAAGGUAACGGCUUACCAAGGCAACGAUGCAUAGCCGACCUGAGAGGGUGAGCGGCCACACUGGAUCUGAGACACGGUCCAGACUCCUACGCGAGGCAGCAGUAGGGAAUCUUCCGCGAUGGGCGAAAGCCUGACGGUGCAACACCGCGUGAGUGAUGAUGGUCUUCGGAUCGUAAAACUCUGUUAUUAGGGAAGAACAUAUGUGUAUGUAACUGUGCACAUCUUGACGGUACCUAAUCAGAAAGCCACGGCUAACUACGUG